ACAGAAAAGUAGUUUAAUUA
rnacentral:tRNA from 1 species